ACGGAGGGUGCAAGCGUUAAUCGGAAUUACUGGGCGUAAAGCGCACGUAGGCUGUUGUGUAAGUCAGGGGUGAAAUCCCACGGCUCAACCGUGGAACUGCCUUUGAUACUGCAUGACUUGAAUCCGGGAGAGGGUGGCGGAAUUCCAGGUGUAGGAGUGAAAUCCGUAGAUAUCUGGAGGAACACCAGUGGCGAAGGCGGCCACCUGGACCGGUAUUGACGCUGAGGUGCGAAAGCGUGGGGAGCAAACAG
rnacentral:rRNA from 1 species